UACGUAGGGGGCUAGCGUUGUCCGGAUUUAUUGGGCGUAAAGAGCGUGUAGGCGGCCAUGUAGGUCCGGUGUGAAAACUCGAGGCUUAACCUCGAGAUGUCAUCGGAAACCAUUUGGCUAGAGUCCGGAAGAGGAGAAUGGAAUUCCUAGUGUAGCGGUGAAAUGCGUAGAGAUUAGGAAGAACACCAGUGGCGAAGGCGAUUCUCUGGACCAUAACUGACGCUGAGGCAUGAAAGCGUGGGGUAGCAAACAGG
rnacentral:rRNA from 1 species